UAACAUAAUUUCUAUAUAAAUUAUAAUAAUUACUAAAGGUUUCCUAGACACGUAUUGGUAUUGUUGAACUAAAAGAACGAGCAAUUAACAUGAGAUAUAUGUAUUUGUUUUCUAUUAUGAUUGAUGUAUCCUAUUAAACCAUUCUUUUUUUAAACAGUUCUCCAAAACAAAGGGAGAGUAGUUUAAGUUAAUUGAAUAAUAUGAUUGAACUUAAGAAAAAAGGAAGAAGAAGAAGAAGAAGUAAAUAGGACUAAAUAUGUGGCCUCGUGUGUAAUGAGAACAACAACAUUGGGCCUUAGCUUCCUUUGUAAUGGGCCUUUAUCUUUUCCGAUUGUCUCAAACCCGAUUAAGUUUGUUUUUCCUUAAAAUAUAAGAAAACCAAUAAAGUUAGAAUUGGAGAGAAAAUGGACCCUAAUGUAGGGUUAGUAAGUUUAACAUGAAAACAUGAAUAAUCCGAAUUUGAGUUAAGUUGAGUUAUUAUUUUUUCUUUUUUUUCUAAGAUCGAGUUGAAUUUUAGAAAGGAUUUAGGUAAGUGGAUUUCUUGUUUUCUUCACGUUGCACCUUUGUCUAUCAUCUCUCGACUCACCCUCCAGGCCUCUCAUUUCACCUUCAUGACAUCGCCGAAGUCUCAUCUCCCAUUGAACCUUCGCCUCCCAUCUCCGCUUAGCUCUCCCUCUCAGUUUGUUAUGUUUAAUAACUUUUUUGUUACUUUAUUAUUAAAGUUGUAGUUCAUUGACGUUUAUAGAUAAUUUGGAAUGUUGUACAUAGUUUAUGGAUGAUUGAAUUUAUGGAUACAACUAGUACAACAGUUUUAAAUUUAAUAAACACUAGAAAUCAGAAAAAAAAAAAUAUACAAACAUGAACUCAACCCAUAUUUUAAGGAUUGAGUUGGGUCGUGAAUAUUAGUUCAGAUUAUUCGAGUUGUCAAUCCAACCAAUUUGAAAAUUCGUGUUGUUUUUAAAAUGUCCUGCAACUCAAUCCAACCAAAUUUAGAUAUCUGUACCGUGUUGGCUUAUGAGUUUAAUUUGAUAUUGAGUUAAAAAGUAAAAGAAUGUAAGAACUAAUGAAUUAAAAAUGUAUGAUUUUAGUUAUGUGACAUAAAACUAUACUAAUGUAUUGAGACGAGCAUCAGACGGAAAAAAGACUUUCCAAGUUUGUGUUGUUGGGGUGUGGUCACAUUGGAUAUGUUGCAAUAUACUUAAAAAGUAGAUUCACGUAAGCAUAUAUUUGACCCCACCUAUCCAAGCUUCUAGAACUCACAUUAACUAAUCAUUCAAAGCCCAAUGAAUUAUAACUUUAGUCAAAGACGCGUGUGGAGCCUUUUUUUUCUCUUAUCACCAAACAAACACGUGUGUUUUUCAUGUCAACUUCGUUACUUUUAUAUUUUUCAUUUUAUUUUUGAGCAAAAGCCCCAAAAGACUAUUCAACUUCAAAUUUAAAUCAUACUAUAAAUUUAAACACCUAGCUGUGACAUUUAAUUGAAGCACAAAAAAUACCUAAACAAAUCAAAAUAUAACACAGAUUAUAAGUUAAAUAUACAUACAUAUUGUUAAAAAAAAGUUUGCUUAAAGAAAUGGAUGAUUUUACGUGUGUACAAAUAAGAUGGAUGCAGCUUGUCUCUUUAUAAACCUGAAGACUAUUAUUUUUGAAAAAACUAAAGAUAGUACAUUUUAAACUUUCAAGUAAUUUCAAUAUGUAUUUUAAGGAUUUUUAUCAAAUGAAUUAACAUGAAUCUAAAUUUGCUCAAAAAUAAUUUUUCUAUAGUCAAAUCUAAACAUAUCCUAAAUGAUGAAACAUGAAUAAAAUAAAAAUAUAUGUUGAGUGAGAUUGAAAAUAACGAAAAUUAAUAAUAAAAAAUAUAAACAUACCAGAUCAUAAACUCAUACAGAAAGCAAUGAAGGUUGCAGUAUAAUUUGAAACUUAAAAGAUGAUGUAGUUUGAAGAAAAGAAGAAUGGACAACGGUGAGGUACACUCAUUGUCCUUAUUCACCAAUCAGUAAUCACAAGAACCAUAUAACUCACCCUUGACGUAUUUCACUACACGUCAGCCAUGGCGUUUGACACUAAAAAUAGCACUGAAAACAAACAUGAAUGAUUGGUUAAUACAUCACACCGUUGGCCGUCCUUCCCUUGCUUACGAGUUGUCUACUCCAGUCGGCACCCGUCUUUGUCUCCGCUGGACAAAUUCAGCUGUAAAGUUCCCCCAAUCUGAUCUGGCACCCAUUGUGGGCUCCCCUUGCCCUCCUCUCCUCACGACACGGCUACGCGUCCGCCCCAUCUGUUACCUUUUCCACGUAGC
rnacentral:lncRNA from 1 species